rnacentral:rRNA from 1 species
UACGUAGGGGGCAAGCGUUGUCCGGAUUUAUUGGGCGUAAAGAGCUCGUAGGCGGUUGGGCAAGUCACGUGUGAAAUCUCCACGCUCAACGUGGAGGCGCCACGUGAGACUGCCCUGACUCGAGUCCGGUAGGGGAGCGUGGAAUUCCCGGUGUAGCGGUGAAAUGCGCAGAGAUCGGGAGGAACACCCGUAGCGAAGGCGGCGCUGUGGGCCGGUACUGACGCUGAGGAGCGAAAGCGUGGGGAGCAAACAGG